AUACUUACCUGGCAGGUGCGACUCCAUGGUCCCGAAGGUGGAUCGCACAGAGUGAGGAUCAGCCAUUGCACCACGGCGAUCUGACCUCUGUGAAUUCUCCUAAAGGGAGAAUCUCAACUGCACAAUUUAUGGUAGUGGGGGACUGCGUUCGCGCUCUCCCCUG
rnacentral:snRNA from 1 species